GGGAUAACUACUGGAAACGGUAGCUAAUACCGCAUAACGUCGCAAGACCAAAGAGGGGGACCCUCGGGCCUCUUGCCAUCGGAUGUGCCCAGAUGGGAUUAGCUUGUUGGUGGGGUAACGGCUCACCAAGGCGACGAUCCCUAGCUGGUCUGAGAGGAUGACCAGCCACACUGGAACUGAGACACGGUCCAGACUCCUACGGGAGGCAGCAGUGGGGAAUAUUGCACAAUGGGCGCAAGCCUGAUGCAGCCAUGCCGCGUGUAUGAAGAAGGCCUUCGGGUUGUAAAGUACUUUCAGCGGGGAGGAAGGGAGUAAAGUUAAUACCUUUGCUCAUUGACGUUACCCGCAGAAGAAGCACCGGCUAACUCCGUGCCAGCAGCCGCGGUAAUACGGAGGGUGCAAGCGUUAAUCGGAAUUACUGGGCGUAAAGCGCACGCAGGCGGUUUGUUAAGUCAGAUGUGAAAUCCCCGGGCUCAACCUGGGAACUGCAUCUGAUACUGGCAAGCUUGAGUCUCGUAGAGGGGGGUAGAAUUCCAGGUGUAGCGGUGAAAUGCGUAGAGAUCUGGAGGAAUACCGGUGGCGAAGGCGGCCCCCUGGACGAAGACUGACGCUCAGGUGCGAAAGCGUGGGGAGCAAACAGGAUUAGAUACCCUGGUAGUCCACGCCGUAAACGAUGUCGACUUGGAGGUUGUGCCCUUGAGGCGUGGCUUCCGGAGCUAACGCGUUAAGUCGACCGCCUGGGGAGUACGGCCGCAAGGUUAAAACUCAAAUGAAUUGACGGGGGCCCGCACAAGCGGUGGAGCAUGUGGUUUAAUUCGAUGCAACGCGAAGAACCUUACCUGGUCUUGACAUCCACGGAAGUUUUCAGAGAUGAGAAUGUGCCUUCGGGAACCGUGAGACAGGUGCUGCAUGGCUGUCGUCAGCUCGUGUUGUGAAAUGUUGGGUUAAGUCCCGCAACGAGCGCAACCCUUAUCCUUUGUUGCCAGCGGUCCGGCCGGGAACUCAAAGGAGACUGCCAGUGAUAAACUGGAGGAAGGUGGGGAUGACGUCAAGUCAUCAUGGCCCUUACGACCAGGGCUACACACGUGCUACAAUGGCGCAUACAAAGAGAAGCGACCUCGCGAGAGCAAGCGGACCUCAUAAAGUGCGUCGUAGUCCGGAUUGGAGUCUGCAACUCGACUCCAUGAAGUCGGAAUCGCUAGUAAUCGUGGAUCAGAAUGCCACGGUGAAUACGUUCCCGGGCCUUGUACACACCGCCCGUCACACCAUGGGAGUGGGUUGCAAAAGAAGUAGGUAGCUUAACCUUCGGGAGGGCGCUUACCACUUUGUGAUUCAUGACUGGGGUGAAGUCGUAACAAGGUA
rnacentral:rRNA from 1 species